UUCCAUGUGUAGGCGGGGUGAAAUGCGUAGAGAUCUGGAGGAAUACCGGUGGCGAAGGCGGCCCCUGGACGAAGACUGACGCUCAGGUGCGAAAGCGUGGGGAGCAAACAGGAUUAGAUACCUGGUAGUCCACGCUGUAAACGAUGUCGAUUUGGAGGUUGUGCCCUUGAGGCGUGGCUUCCGGAGCUAACGCGUUAAAUCGACCGCCUGGGGAGUACGGCCGCAAGGUUAAAACUCAAAUGAAUUGACGGGGGCCCGCACAAGCGGUGGAGCAUGUGGUUUAAUUCGAUGCAACGCGAAGAACCUUACCUACUCUUGACAUCCAGAGAACUUUCCAGAGAUGGAUUGGUGCCUUCGGGAACUCUGAGACAGGUGCUGCAUGGCUGUCGUCAGCUCGUGUUGUGAAAUGUUGGGUUAAGUCCCGCAACGAGCGCAACCCUUAUCCUUUGUUGCCAGCGGUUCGGCCGGGAACUCAAAGGAGACUGCCAGUGAUAAACUGGAGGAAGGUGGGGAUGACGUCAAGUCAUCAUGGCCCUUACGAGUAGGGCUACACACGUGCUACAAUGGCGUAUACAAAGAGAAGCGACCUCGCGAGAGCAAGCGGACCUCAUAAAGUACGUCGUAGUCCGGAUUGGA
rnacentral:rRNA from 1 species